AUCCACAUUCUUCUAAACACAAUAUAGUCUGGCCUGUCACAGCAAUACCCCUCAGUCUCUGGUAUCAACCCAUGUCUUAGGAUUUCCCUUGCAGUGAAGAGAAACCAUAACCAAAGCAACUCUUACAAAAGACAGCAUUUAAUUGGGGCUGGCUUACAGAAUCAGAGAUUCAGCAUAGCAGUGUCCAUGUAAGCAUGCUGCUAGAGGAGCUGAGAGUUCUGUCUUGUUUGGAAGACAAACAGGAGAAGACUCAGCAUCCUCAGGUAGCCAGAAGGAGGGUCUCAAAACACACCCCCACAGUGACACACAUUCUCCAACAAGGCCACACCUACUUCAACAAAUUCGUACCUCCUAAUAGUUUCAUUUAUUGUGCCAAGCAUAUUCAAACCACCACACCUCCCCCGGGAGCUACAAUACCUCUGGAUGAGCAGACUUCCUCUCAGAGCUGUGUGGUUGCUGGUCUCUAGUGUCUCUGGAUACUCUUCCAUUGGGACACUCUCCUGCUUCAAAGCUGUGUACAUCCUAGGCUUCCAAGUCACAGGACACCUUCCCAUCCCAGCAGAAAGGUCAAGGUUUUGGUGUAGUGCUUCGUGUAGACUUUCUCUGUGGCUUGUGCUUCCCCAACUCUGGAGAGAUCGAACUGCUCUAGGACUCUUCCAUCUCCGGCUGGCCUGCAGCAGACUCAUCUUCCAGCUCACCUAUAGCUCAUCAUCCUAUCCACUAGCAACAAUUAGGAUUGCUAGCUCUUAGCUCUGUAGCCAGAGCCUGCAACUACUGGUAUACCCUGAAAGUGAGGACUGAACUUGCUCCAUAGACUUCAAACUCACAGAGCAGUGGGAGAGAUGAACGAGGAUGGGACCUCUACACACACAUUCAACAAGAAAUAGUCUAAUGAUGUCGCUCCUUUCCCCCAACCCUGACUGUACAUCAAUGUCUGCCUGCAGACACCUGAGCAGACACAGGUGAGACCUGAGACCUCAAAAGCAAACAUUCACAGAAAGUAUAUGAUGGGCCAAACCUGGAAACUGGAGGAGAGACAGGAGCAUGUUGUUCUCUGAGAGGCUCCACCCAGCAGCUGACUCAAACAGAUACAGAUACCCACAGCCAAACAGUGGAUGGAGCUUGUGGACUCUUAAGAAGAAUAGGAGGAAGGAUUUCAGGGCCCAAAGGGGAUAGGAACUCCACAAGAAGACUAACAGAGUCAACUCACCUGGACCCUUGGGUCUCUCAGAGUCUGAACCAUCAACCAAAGAACAUAGACAGGCUGCACCUAGGCCUCCCAGAUGUGUAGCAGAUGUGCAGCUUGGUCUUCAUGUGAGUCCUAAAAAAUCUGGAGUAUUAGCUAUCCCAAAAGUUGUUGCUAGUAAGUGAGAUAUGUUCUACUAGCUAAGCUGCCUUGUCUGGCCUCAAAGAGACUUGCAGUGCCAGGGUAGGGGGCAUACACAGGCUCUCCCUCCACUCUGAGAAGAAGGGGAGGGGGAGGGAUUAUGGGAGGAGUUAACUGAAAGGAGGAGCAGUGAACAGGGUGUAAAGUGAGUACGUAAAAAACAGUAAAAUUGAAUAAAAGAUUCCAGUGUAGCUUUCAUCAAUACUCAGCUGGAUCUCCUCAGAAUCUAUGAAGCUGAGAGUCAACCUCUGUGCAGGAUGAAAGUCACCACACAGCCUCUGGAUAAUUUUCAGUUGGCAUAUUGUAUACACUUUUUUAGCUGAUUUCACAUUAUCUAACAACACUCCACAUAGCCCUUGAACAUCAUAAUAUCUAGUUUGCCAGCUAAAUGAUAUAUAGUUCCUAUUGGCCACAGGCUUAUCAUUAUGUGUGAGUUUCUAGAUCAUUCUUUGAGGCCCUAAUGGAUAGUGCCUGAAAACCUAUCACCCACUUCUGGCAUAAUAUUCACAGCAUUUCAUGCAAAGCCUUUGAUCUGUGAUAAAAAAUAAAGUCCAUAGCAGGAUAAUCCUGUAAUGUGUUGGCCACUACAUGAUUCAGUCAA